rnacentral:rRNA from 1 species
UAUCUAGUGUGGGCGCAGGAGAUUUGAGUGGGUCUGACCCUAGUACGAGAGGACUGGGUUGGACGGACCUCUAGUGUACCAGCCGUCAUGCCAAUGGCGUGGCUGGGUAGCUAUGUCCGGUCGGGAUAAACGCUGAAUGCAUCUAAGCGUGAAGCUCGCCACGAGAUGAGAUCUCCCGGUCGCAAGACCCUAAAGACCCGUGGAAGACUACCACGUUGAUAGGCGGGAUGUGUAAGGUUGGCAACAGCUUUAGCUUACCCGUACUAAUCGGUUGUGAGGCUUGAUCAUA